AUUUUCAUAGUUUAAAAAACAUUACACUUUCAUUGUAAAAUUAGACCAAAGUCUUGUAAAUA
rnacentral:tRNA from 1 species